rnacentral:rRNA from 1 species
GACAGAGGGUGCAAACGUUGUUCGGAAUCACUGGGCGUAAAGCGUGUGUAGGCGGCCACGUCAGUCGGAUGUGAAAGCCCCGGGCUCAACCCGGGAAGUGCACCCGAUACUGCGUGGCUCGAGUGUCGGAGAGGUUGGUGGAAUUCCCGGUGUAGAGGUGAAAUUCGUAGAUAUCGGGAGGAACACCUGUGGCGAAGGCGGCCAACUGGACGAACACUGACGCUGAGACACGAAAGCGUGGGGAG